CCUCUCCUCCUUCUUCAUCUUCCUCCUUUCUCCACCACCUCCUUUUCUUCCUUACUCUUCCUCCUCCCCGGACCCACUCUCCCAGUGCAAUGGGUCCAUUUUGAAGGCUUUAGUCUCUCAAAGAAAGUCGGAGAAUUGAAAAAGCAGGUGGCAGCAUAAAGUACAUGGUUCUGGUACAUUCAUGGAAUCUUCUUAGAGGCAUCUUCCUCUUCAGGCUCCUCAAAGGAUGGCUCUAAUCUUUAGCAGGAUGAAAUGGAGGAUAUGCUUGUGGUUAGGACCGUAGAUAUUGUCUGCUAUGGUUGGAGUCAUCUCGUAUCUAUUCUUUAUGGUGUAAAGGAUAUAUGUAAAAGAUAUUGG